AUCAGAGGGAAUUUCUUUAUUAAUUACGUUUUAAAAACAGUUUGGAAAACAAGACGGUAUAUUUUGGUAUAUUUCUGAGGGUCAGACUGCAUAUUUUAUCAGCGGUCACACUGAUUUCCACGUUCACAAGGCGGGCUGCCAAAAAAAAAAAAAAAAUAAAUAAAAAAGUAGUCAUGGACAAGGAUAAAUUCACGCUUCAGGAAGAAAUAGGAAACUAAUCAUAUCCAUGAAUACGUCUAAAACAUAUCAAUCAGAGGGAAUUUCUUUAUUAAUUACGUUUUAAAAACAGUUUGGAAAACAAGACGGUAUAUUUUGGUAUAUUUCUGAGGGUCACACUGUAUAUUUAUCAGCGGUCACACUGAUUUCCACGUUCACAAGGCGGGCUGCCAAAAAAAAAAA